AAACUGGGGUUAAUUUCCCGAUGGGUGAGGAGGCCUGGAAUGGACCCUCGCCCAAAAGACGUUGAGUCCAUGCUAUUCAGCGCCGCCCAAGGAUGGGGCCGCGACCGAUCAGGUAGUUGGUGAGGCAACGGCUCACCAAGCCUAUAACCGGUACGGGCCGUGAGAGCGGGAGCCCGGAGAUGGGCACUGAGACAAGGGCCCAGGCCCUACGGGGCGCAGCAGUUGCGAAAACUCCGCAAUGCGCGAAAGCGUGACGGGGCUACCCCGAGUGCCGCCCGUUGAGGGCGGCUUUUCCACGGUGUAAGGAGCCGUGGGAAUAAGGAGAGGGCAAGACUGGUGUCAGCCGCCGCGGUAAUACCAGCUCUCCGAGUGGUGGGGACGAUUAUUGGGCUUAAAGCGUUCGUAGCCGGCUUAACAAGUCUUCCGUUAAAUCCAACGAUCUAAUCGUUGGGCUGCGGGAGAUACUGUUGGGCUAGGAGGCGGGAGAAGCCGACGGUAUUCUCGGGGUAGGGGUGAAAUCCUAUAAUCCCGGGCGGACCACCAGUGGCGAAGGCUGUCGGCUAGAACGCGCUCGACGGUGAGGGACGAAAGCUGGGGUAGCGAACCGGAUUAGAUACCCGGGUAGUCCCAGCCGUAAACGAUGCGGGCUAGGUGUUGGGGUGGCUACGUGCCACUUCAGUGCCGCAGGGAAGCCAUUAAGCCCGCCGCCUGGGGAGUACGGCCGCAAGGCUGAAACUUAA
rnacentral:rRNA from 1 species